rnacentral:rRNA from 1 species
UACGGGGGGGGGCAAGCGUUGUUCGGAAUUACUGGGCGUAAAGGGCUCGUAGGCGGCCAACUAAGUCAGACGUGAAAUCCCUCGGCUUAACCGGGGGAACUGCAUCUGAUACUGGAUGGCUUGAGUUCGGGAGAGGGAUGCAGAAUUCCAGGUGUAGCUGGUAGAAAUGCGUAGAUAAUCUGGAGGAAUACCGGUGGCGAA